rnacentral:rRNA from 1 species
GAUGAACGCUAGCGGGAGGCUUAACACAUGCAAGUCGUGGGGCAGCAUAAUGUAGCAAUACGUUGAUGGCGACCGGCGCACGGGUGAGUAACACGUAUGCAACCUACCCUUUACAGGGGGAUAGCCCGGAGAAAUUCGGAUUAAUACCCCAUAAUAAUAUAAAUAGGCAUCUAUUAAUAUUUAAAGUUUCGGCGGUAAAGGAUGGGCAUGCGCAACAUUAGCUGGUUGGUAGGGUAACGGCCUACCAAGGCAACGAUGUUUAGGGGACCUGAGAGGGUGAUCCCCCACACUGGUACUGAGACACGGACCAGACUCCUACGGGAGGCAG